GCACCCGUAGCUCAGCUGGAUAGAGCGUCGCCCUCCGAAGGCGAAGGCCACACGUUCGAAUCGUGUCGGGCGCG
rnacentral:tRNA from 1 species